AGUCUUAUAUUCAUUAAUGAUGUAAAAUUGCAAAUUUUAAGGAGUAAAGUAUAAUUACUAAGGCUU
rnacentral:tRNA from 1 species